AAAAUCUUUCAUUUUUUGUAAGUAAAACUAAGGUUCUGGAGCAGCAGUAUUAUAAGAUAGUGUUCUCAGAGAAAUGGAAUUUGUUGUACAUCUGUUUAUUGACUGCUCAAAACUUCAAGACCUACAAACUGGAUUUUAUUUAGGAAUUUUAUUUAGGAAUCUCAAUUGAUAGAGAAGGCUGUGGCCCACAAAGCUCUCUUGGGCACUGUACCUAACAGCAGUUCUUACAAAAACUGCUGACUGACUCCAGGUCUUUAAAUCCAGGGCUGUGGAUAGUUUCUAAGUAGAUAGUUUAUAAGCCUCACAGAGUUGAAGUUCUAGCAGCAGCUGUAGUAAGAGAUGUCUGUGUUGGCAUUUAGAAGUAGAAAAUAGGCAAGUCACCUGAGCGAUUAUGGACAGUUUGUGUCCUCAGGUGAAAGAACUCAUUUCCCUGGACAAAUAGACAUAUGAAAGAAUGGUUAGGCAGGUCAAAAUUGAAGCUGAUCAAAAAUUAUGUGCUUGGUUUUCCCUGACUUGAACUUCAGUGAAUCCAAUCAAGUUUUGUUUUCUUAGAAUCAGAUGGAUUUAAUUCUAUGAGGCAGAGUCUAAAAAAAAAUAAUAAUAAUAAAAAUAAUUCCCCAAGUGAGAAAUUUCAACCAGCUUUACCAAAACCAAAGUGAAUAGUUAAACAUGCAUCAGCCUGACCUCACCCCAGUGGAAGCAUUGAUGGGUCAGCCACUGUGGCUUUUUACAAGACAUGACAAGGAACCUCACCCAGAAAUUUCUGCAUCAAAUUCAUAACUUCAAGCUGAACUGUUGCAUACCCUUUACAUACCAGUCUGUAUUAAAGAUUGCAGAUAGGACACUCAGGUAUGUACUUUGACUUCGUUGCCAGUAUUAAAACCCUCUGCAACCUGUUGCCUGAAGUCAGAUGCAGAUGAAUUGUUUAAUUUUAUCCUUAAUAUCAGAACUACAGAGAAAGGAGAAACAAUCAGACCUUCCAGAUGAGGCUAAAUUGAUGAAAUACCCCAGUCAAGGUACAUUUCUCUGGCAGUGCCAUUAACCUGUGCCUAGGCUCUUUUGCAACCACAAUGUUUCUAAUGUCUGCCAUGAUCGCUAUAUGGAGAGGUAGGAUUUGUAGCUUAUUUGAGCUUAGCUUCUGGGUGUUGACCCAGAACCUAGGUGUUUUGCUCCUGAGCUGGGGAAAAGAACAGCUUCUUUAUCAUCAUUUAUUCAUCUGUUGGUCCACAGGAGCAUCACAAUUUCAUCUAGACUGCAGAUACAUUUUCAUUACAAGGAAAAGGGAGGGGAGGGAAUUUUGUCUCUUAAAAGAAACAGCUCAAAUGAAGAGGGUAAGGAAAGCCCACAGGAUGUUUUUGGAUUAGUCUGCUUCUCUGUAGCAAGGAGCUUUGCAGUAUUUCUGCAAAGUAUAUACAAUCCCAGAUUGAAAAAAAAAAAAAAAAAAACCCACCAACAACAAAAAAACCACCUUUAUUCAGAAAGUUUGAUGCUGACAACAGCUUUCAAGUGUCCAAAUAAUCUUCUUGAGGGCUGACCUGUCUUCUGAGGAAAGCUUGCCUGUCAGAGUGAAAGAACACAUAUUAUUGUUUCUUAACUUCAGGUGGACAUAACUUUGGAAAAGAAGCAAAAGAAUGAAACAGAGCACAGACUAAGAAAAGAUUUGUGUGCUUAGGUGUGCUUGUUUAGCCUGUUAGGCUAUGUCUUCGAUACACAAGAGAACGCAUCUGUCAAGCGUUUUUCCUCUUCUUUCCUUUACCCAUCAUUUUUCUUCUCAAGAUUUCACUACCAUAUUACACUCAAAGGAAUCUUUGAAGCCAAAAAUGAGCCAGUAUUUUAUUUUCCCAGUAAGUUAGCACCUGAAGGUAAGUCCACCUUCAUGCAGGUGGUUGUAUCCUUGUAAAUCAUGGACCUUUUAGCCUCUACCUCUUGGCUGGAGACUGGGAGCAUGGAGGGAGAGAGAUUUAUUCCAGAUGGCAAAGAACAGACAAACAGAAGUUCUUGUAGCAGAACAUGGAAAGCAAAGAGGAAUAAAACCUGUUAAAGACAAAUACAGAAAGCGGGCUCCCCCAGCAGACUUUGGUGCCAGCUUGGCAGGGAAUGAGGAAGGGACAUCAGGCUGUGGAAGCCGUGGUGCCCCCCAGGUCCCUUUGUCUGAGCACCUACAUCAGGUCCCCAAUGAAGAUCCAGAUUAGACCAGUGGACCUCUGGUUCCUUGAAAUGUUUCUCUGGUUCCUUGAAAUGUACGUCCUUUUGGAAGCAAUUUUGGUUUCAGUAACCCUGUUGACUGCUACCUUGAGAACAAAAUUUCUCAGCAGCUCUGUUUUGGCAAUCUCUCUUUAGGACUUGUUCCUGUGCAGGCUCGUGACACAAGUUGGUUCGGGAAGGCGUGCAGUGCUGGCUGCUCUGCAGGAGUGUGCUGGGGCUCCCCGGGCAGAGGCAGUUUCUCGUGACCUACCACCACAUGCUGACAUUCAUGGCUGUUAUUUUCAUUCUCACCGGGAAGUGACAGAUUUUUAUGCGAGGUGCCAAGUCGUUAAGUAACUCUGUCUUAGUUCAGUGCCUUCCUUUUCAUGCUGUAGUGAUUAGAUACUGUUAGAGGAGAAAAGGUUUCAUACGAAUUGAAGACAUUGAAACUGAACCUUAUAAAGGAACUGUAAUACACUGCACUUUUUCUAUUUUUUUUUUUCACUGGGUCCUCCCAAACCUCCACCAUUUCAGGUUUUGUUCAAGCCCACAUAAUUUGCUACGUAUCGGACCAAACAGUACAAAUGGUCCUAUCUGCACAUAAUGACUCUAUUUAAAUAGCCAAAAUAACUGCAAGGUUUCUCAUCAAGAAGCCCAUCUUUUCAUAUAUUCUGGCUGUAGUAUUCAAAAGACAACAAUAGAAGUCAUUCUGCUUUAUAGAUGCUUCUUUUUCAGGAAUAUAAGAG